ACAGAGAAGAGGACAGCAGCGUUAUUUCAUUGUAUUUGAUAGGUCUACAUGUUAAAGCGGCGCUCCGUGUCCGGGAGCCAGAUGACUCAGGCUCACUCCCUGCUGCAGGCCACGGCUUGUGCUUGUCUUUCAGAUCUCUUCUGCUGGCCUGCAGAUUAAUGGAUGUCAAUGAAAAAGCCAUAUCUAACCAGUAGGUGGCGCUGGUGUACAUGAUCCUGUGAUAUUAUUUCCAGCAGUAGGUGGCGCUGGUGUACAUGAUCCUGUGAUAUUAUUUGUGGCAGUAGGUGGCGCUGGUGUACAUGAUCCUGUGAUAUUAUUUCCAGCAGUAGGUGGCGCUGGUGUACAUGAUCCUGUGAUAUUAUUUCCAGCAGUAGGUGGUGCUGGUAUACAUGAUUCUGUGAUAUUAUUUCCAGCAGUAGGUGGCGCUGGUGUACAUGAUCCUGUGAUAUUAUUUGUGGCAGUAGGUGGUGCUGGUGUACAUGAUCCUGUGAUAUUAUUUCCAGCAGUAGGUGGCGCUGGUGUACAUGAUCCUGUGAUAUUAUUUCCAGCAGUAGGUGGCGCUGGUGUACAUAAUCCUGUGAUAUUAUAUCCAGCAGUAGGUGGCGCUGGUGUACAUGAU